rnacentral:rRNA from 1 species
UCUUGCGCAAUGCGCGAAAGCGUGACGCAGCAACGCCGCGUGGGGGAAGAAGGCCUUCGGGUUGUAAACCCCUUUCAGGAGGGACGAAGCCCGGGCGGUGAAUAGCCGACUCCGGGUGACGGUACCUCCAGAAGAAGCCCCGGCUAACUACGUGCCAGCAGCCGCGGUAAUACGUAGGGGGCAAGCGUUGUCCGGAAUCAUUGGGCGUAAAGAGCGUGUAGGCGGUCUGGUAAGUCGGCUGUGAAAGUCCAGGGCUCAACCCUGGGAUGCCGGUCGAUACUGCCAGACUAGAGUCCGGAAGAGGCAAGUGGAAUUCCCGGUGUAGCGGUGAAAUGCGCAGAUAUCGGGAGGAACACCAACGGCGAAGGCAGCUUGCUGGGACGGUACUGACGCUGAGACGCGAAAGCGUGGGGAGCAAAC